ACAGCAGUCGCCGCGGUAAAACGGAGGGUGCAAGCGUUAAUCGGAAUUACUGGGCGUAAAGCGCACGCAGGCGGUUUGUUAAGUCAGAUGUGAAAUCCCCGAGCUUAACUUGGGAACUGCAUUUGAAACUGGCAAGCUAGAGUCUUGUAGAGGGGGGUAGAAUUCCAGGUGUAGCGGUGAAAUGCGUAGAGAUCUGGAGGAAUACCGGUGGCGAAGGCGGCCCCCUGGACAAAGACUGACGCUCAGGUGCGAAAGCGUGGGGAGCAAACAGGAUUAGAUACCCCAGUAGUCCCUGUCUCUUAUAA
rnacentral:rRNA from 1 species